UACGGGGGGGGCAAGCGUUAUUCGGAAUUAUUGGGCGUAAAGGGCGCGUAGGCGGCUUUGCAAGUGACGGGUGAAAUCCCUCGGCUUAACCGAGGAACUGCCUGUCAGACUGCAUGGCUUGAGACCGGGAGAGGUGAGUGGAAUUCCCAGUGUAGCGGUGAAAUGCGUAGAUAUUGGGAGGAACACCAGUGGCGAAGGCGGCUCACUGGACCGGUACUGACGCUGAGGCGCGAAAGCGUGGGGAGCAAACAGG
rnacentral:rRNA from 1 species